rnacentral:siRNA from 1 species
ACGAGAUAAAGAUAAAGAGGGAU